rnacentral:lncRNA from 1 species
GUAUCCAUGCCACUGUAUGAUGUAACCUGCAUCUGUACAUUGGUGUUGGCGCAUUAUUACAUGAUGACCAAAUCCGCUUCACGUGUCUUUCUUGAACCUGUCUAUGGUGCAGCUUCUGUAACUAACAUCUCCCACCAUCCCACCAUCCAAUCUUUUAUUGUUUAAUUUCUCACUCCACAUCCAACGGAUGAUGGUGCAGUCUGUAACUUACAGAUUCUGUAACCUAGCAAAGUCCGUCUUGCUUUCAUCUUUGUUGGUUUCUAUAAUGAUUUAAGGCUUCUCUCGCCCUCUCUUCACGUGACACUGCCCAGUUCACUUUGCUCAUCUGCACUUAAGUCUCUAACCCCUUUUGCUUUUUCGCGUGACAAAAGAAGGGAAGACCGGAGGAGUGAGAGACGCGGACUCAGAUACCCUUCUCGCCAUAUUCUAAUCUUGCAAAAAUUAGACAGCCAGGUGUUGCAUCUUUC